rnacentral:rRNA from 1 species
CAGAGGUCCCAAGCGUUGUUCGGAUUCACUGGGCGUAAAGGGUGCGUAGGCGGUUGGGUAAGUCUGUCGUGAAAUCUCCGAGCCUAACUCGGAAACUGCGUCGGAUACUAUUCAACUCGAGGAAUGGAGGGGAGACUGGAAUUCUCGGUGUAGCAGUGAAAUGCGUAGAUAUCGAGAGGAACACCAGUGGCGAAGGCGAGUCUCUGGACAUUUCCUGACGCUGAGGCACGAAAGCCAGGGGAGCAAACGGGAUUAGAUACCCCGGUAGUCCUGGCCCUAAACGGUGCAUGUUUGCUGUAAGAGGAAUCGACCCCUUUUGUGGCGAAGCUAACGCGUUAAACAUGCCGCCUGGGAAGUACGGCCGCAAGGUUA